rnacentral:rRNA from 1 species
ACCCUGUACACACGGAUAACAUACCGAAAGGUAUGCUAAUACGGGAUAAUAUAUUUGAGAGGCAUCUCUUGAAUAUCAAAGGUGAGCCAGUACAGGAUGGACCCGCGUCUGAUUAGCUAGUUGGUAAGGUAACGGCUUACCAAGGCGACGAUCAGUAGCCGACCUGAGAGGGUGAUCGGCCACAUUGGAACUGAGACACGGUCCAAACUCCUACGGGAGGCAGCAGUGGGGAAUAUUGCACAAUGGGCGAAAGCCUGAUGCAGCAACGCCGCGUGAGUGAUGAAGGCCUUCGGGUCGUAAAACUCUGUCCUCAAGGAAGAUAAUGACGGUACUUGAGGAGGAAGCCCCGGCUAACUACGUGCCAGCAGCCGCGGUAAUACGUAGGGGGCUAGCGUUAUCCGGAUUUACUGGGCGUAAAGGGUGCGUAGGCGGUCUUUCAAGUCAGGAGUGAAAGGCUACGGCUCAACCGUAGUAAGCUCUUGAAACUGGGAGACUUGAGUGCAGGAGAGGAGAGUGGAAUUCCUAGUGUAGCGGUGAAAUGCGUAGAUAUUAGGAGGAACACCAGUUGCGAAGGCGGCUCUCUGGACUGUAACUGACGCUGAGGCACGAAAGCGUGGGGAGCAAACAGGAUUAGAUACCCUGGUAGUCCACGCUGUAAACGAUGAGUACUAGGUGUCGGGGGUUACCCCCUUCGGUGCCGCAGCUAACGCAUUAAGU